rnacentral:rRNA from 1 species
UAGGGAAUCUUCCACAAUGGACGCAAGUCUGAUGGAGCAACGCCGCGUGAGUGAAGAAGGCUUUCGGGUCGUAAAACUCUGUUAUUGAAGAAGAACGUGUGUGACAGUAACUGGUCAUGCAGUGACGGUAUUCAAUCAGAAAGUCACGGCUAACUACGUGCCAGCAGCCGCGGUAAUACGUAGGUGGCAAGCGUUGUCCGGAUUUAUUGGGCGUAAAGCGAGUGCAGGCGGUCUUUAAAGUCNGAUGUGAAAGC